rnacentral:lncRNA from 1 species
UCAGGUCAAAAGCAUGUGUUGUUAGUUGUUGUAUUUGUUUGUCUAUUUACUAUGAAUAGUCCAUGUGUUGUUAGUUGUUGUAUCUGUUUGUCUAUUUACUCUGAGUAGUCAGGUCCAGACCAUAUGUUGUUAGUUGUUGUAUUUGUUUGUCUAUUUACUCUGAGUAGUCAGGUCAGGUCCAGACCGUGUGUUGUGUGUUGUUAUAUUUGUUUGUCUAUUUACUCUGAGUAGUCAGGUCCAGAACAUGUGUUGUUGUAUUUGUUUGUAUAUUUACUCUGAGUAGUCAGGUCAGGUCCAGAACAUGUGUUGUGUGUUGUUGUAUUUGUUUGUCUAUUUACUCUGAGUAGUCAGGUCCAGACAAUGUGUUGUUAGUUGUUGUAUUUGUUUGUCUAUUUACUCUGAGUAGUCAGGUCCAGACCAUGUGUUGUUAGUUGUUGUAUUUGUUUGUCUAUUUACUCUGAGUAGUCAUGUCAGAUCAUGUGUUGUUUGUUGUUUAUAUUUGUUUGUCUAUUUACUCUGAGUAGUCAGGUCCAGACCAUGUGUUGUUUGUUGUUAUAUUUGUUUGUCUAUUUACUCUGAGUAGUCAGGUCCAGAUCAUAUGUUGUGUGUUGUUGUAUUUGUUUGUCUCUUUACUCUGAGAAGUCAGGUCAGGUCCAGACCAUGUGUUGUAAGUUGUUAUAUUUGUUUGUCUAUUUACUCUGAGUAGUCAGGUCAGGUCCAGACCAUGUGUUGUGUGUUGUUAUAUUUGUUUCUCUAUUUACUCUGAGUAGUCAGGUCAGGUCCAGAUCAUGUGUUGUAAGUUGUUAUAUUUGUUUGUCUAUUUACUCUGAGUAGUCAGGUCCAGAUCAUGUGUUGUGUGUUGUUGCAUUUGUUUGUCUAUUUACUCUGAGUAGUCAGGUCAGGUCCAUACCAUGUGUUGUUUGUUGUUAUCUUUGUUUGUCUAUUUACUCUGAGUAGUCAGGUCCAGAUCAUGUGUUGUGUGUUGUUAUAUAUUUGUUUGUCUUUUUACCCUGAGUAGUCAGGUCCAGAUCAUGUGUUGUGUGUUGUUGUAUUUGUUUGUCUAUUUACUCUGAGAAGUCAGGUCAGGUCCAGACCAUGUGUUGUAAGUUGUUAUAUUUGUUUGUCUAUUUACUCUGCGUAGUAAGGUCCAGACCAUGUGUUGUGUGUUGUUAUAUUUGUUUCUCUAUUUACUCUGAGUAGUCAGGUCAGACAAUGUGUUGUUAGUUGUUAUAUUUGUUUGUCUAUUUACUCUGAGUAGUCAGGUCCAGAUCAUGUGUUGUGUGUUGUUGUAUUUGUUUGUCUAUUUACUCUGAGUAGUCAGGUCAGGUCCAGACCAUGUGUUGUUUGUUGUUAUAUUUGUUUGUAUCAUGUGUUGUGUGUUGUUAUAUUUGUUUGUCUAUUUACUCUGAGAAGUCAUGUCCAGACCAUGUGUUGUUAGUUGUUGCAUUUGUUUGUCUAUUUACUCUGAGUAGUCAGGUCAGGUCCAGACCAUGUGUUGAAAGUUGUUAUAUUUGUUUGUAUAUUUACUCUGAGUAGUCAGGUCAGGUCCAGGCCAUGUGUUGUUUGUUGUUAUAUUUGUUUGUCUAUUUACUCUGAGUAGUCAGGUCCAGACCAUGUGUUGUUGAUUGUUGUAUUUGUUUGUCUAUUUACUCUGAGUAGUCAGGUCCAGACCAUGUGUUGUUAGUUGUUAUAUUUGUAUGUCUAUUUACUCUGAGUAGUCAGGUCCAGAACAUGUGUUGUUAGUUGUUAUAUUUGUAUGUCUAUUUACUCUGAGUAGUCAGGUCCAGAUAAUGUGUUGUUAGUUGUUAUAUUUGUUUGUCUAUUUACUCUGAGUAGUCAGGUCCAGACCAUGUGUUGUUAGUUGUUAUAUUUGUUUGUCUAUUUACUCUGAGUAGUCAGGUCCAGACCAUGUGUUGUUAGUUGUUAUAUUUGUUUGUCUAUUUACUCUGAGUAGUCAGGUCCAGAUACCAUGUGUUGUUGUUUGUUAUAUUUGUUUUGUCUAUUUACUCUGAGUAGUCAGGUCCAGACCAUGUGUUGUGUGUUGUUGUAUAUUUGUUUGUCUAUUUACUCUGAGUAGUCAGGUCCAGACCAUGUUUUGUUGUUGUUGUAUUUGUUUGUCUAUUUACUCUGAGUAGUCAGGUCCAGACCAUGUGUUGUUAGUUGUUAUAUUUGUUUGUCUAUUUACUCUGAGUAGUCAGGUCCAGAACAUGUGUUGUUAGUUGUUAUAUUUGUUUGUCUAUUUACUCUGAGUAGUCAGGUCCAGAUAAUGUGUUGUUAGUUGUUAUAUUUGUUUGUCUAUUUACUCUGAGUAGUCAGGUCCAGACCAUGUGUUGUGUGUUGUUGUAUUUGUUUGUCUAUUUACUCUCAGUAGUCAGGUCCAGACCAUGUGUUGUGUGUUGUUGUAUUUGUAUGUCUAUUUACUCUGAGUAGUCAGGUCCAGACCAUGUGUUGUGUGUUGUUAUAUUUGUUUGUCUAUUUACUCUGAGUAGUCAGGUCAGGUCCAGACCAUGUGUUGUUUGUUGUUGUAUUUGUUUGUCUCUGAGUAGUCAUGUCCAGAUAAUGUGUUGUUAGUUGUUAUAAUUGUUUGUCUAUUUACUCUGAGUAGUCAGGUCCAGACCAUGUGUUGUGUGUUGUUAUUUGUUUGUCUAUUUACUCUGAGUAGUCAGGUCCAGACCAUGUGUUGUUAGUUGUUAUAUUUGUUUGUCUAUUUACUCUGAGUAGUCAGGUCAGGUCCAGACCAUGUGUUGUUGUUGUUGUAUUUGUUUGUCUCUGAGUAGUCAGGUCCAGAUAAUGUUUUGUUAGUUGUUAUAUUUGUUUGUCUAUUUACUCUGAGUAGUCAGGUCCAGACCAUGUGUUGUGUGCUGUUGUAUUUGUUUGUCUAUUUACUCUGAGUAGUCAGGUCCAGACCAUGUGUUGUUUGUUGUUGUAUUUGUUUGUCUAUUUACUCUGAGUAGUCAGGUCCAGACCAUGUGUUGUUUGUUGCUAUAUUUGUUUGUAUAUUUACUCUGAGUAGUCAGGUCAGGUCCACACCAUGUGUUGUUAGUUGUUAUAUUUGUUUGUCUAUUUACUCUGAGUAGUCAGGUCCAGACCAUGUGUUUUUUGUUGUUAUAUUUGUUUGUCUAUUUACUCUCAGUAGUCAGGUCCAGACCAUGUGUGGUGUGUUGUUAUAUUUGUUUGUCUAUUUACUCUGAGUAGUCAGGUCCAGACCAUGUGUUGUGUGUUGUUAUAUUUGUUUGUCUAUUUACUCUGAGUAGUCAGGUCCAGA